rnacentral:rRNA from 1 species
GACGAACGCUGGCGGCGUGCUUAACACAUGCAAGUCGAGCGGUAAGGCCCUUUCGGGGGUACACGAGCGGCGAACGGGUGAGUAACACGUGGGUGACCUGCCCUCAGCUCUGGGAUAAGCCUGGGAAACCGGGUCUAAUACUGGAUAUGACUCCAUGACGCAUGUUGUGGGGUGGAAAGCCUUGUGCGGCUGAGGAUGGGCCCGCGGCCUAUCAGCUUGUUGGUGGGGUGANGGCCUACCAAGGCGACGACGGGUAGCCGGCCUGAGAGGGCGACCGGCCACACUGGGACUGAGACACGGCCCAGACUCCUACGGGAGGCAGCAGUGGGGAAUCUUGCGCAAUGGGCGAAAGCCUGACGCAGCGACGCGCGUGAGGGAUGACGGCCUGGUGUAAC